AAACUGCGAAUGGCUCAUUAAAUCAGUUAUCGUUUAUUUGAUAGUACCUUUUCACUUGGAUAACCGUGGAAAAGCUAGAGCUAAUACAUGCUAAAAACCCCGACUUCGGAAGGGGUGUAUUUAUUAGAUAAAAAACCAAUGCCCCUCGGGGCUCACUGGUGAUUCAUAAUAACUUAACGAAUCGCAUGGCCUUGCGCCGGCGAUGGUUCAUUCAAAUUUCUGCCCUAUCAACUUUCGAUGGUAGGAUAGUGGCCUACCAUGGUAUCAACGGGUAACGGGGAAUUAGGGUUCUAUUCCGGAGAGGGAGCCUGAGAAACGGCUACCACAUCCAAGGAAGGCAGCAGGCGCGCAAAUUACCCAAUCCCGACACGGGGAGGUAGUGACAAUAAAUACUGAUACAGGGCUCUUUUGGGUCUUGUAAUUGGAAUGAGAACAAUUUAAAUACCUUAACGAGGAACAAUUGGAGGGCAAGUCUGGUGCCAGCAGCCGCGGUAAUUCCAGCUCCAAUAGCGUAUAUUAAAGUUGUUGCAGUUAAAAAGCUCGUAGUUGAACCUUGGGCCUGGCUGGCCGGUCCGCCUCACCGCGUGCACUGGUCCGGCCGGGCCUUUCCUUCUGGGGAACUGCAUGCCCUUCACUGGGUGUGUCAGGGAACCAGGACUUUUACUUUGAAAAAAUUAGAGUGUUCAAAGCAGGCCUUUGCUCGAAUACAUUAGCAUGGAAUAAUAGAAUAGGACGUGCGGCCCUAUUUUGUUGGUUUCUAGGACCGCCGUAAUGAUUAAUAGGGAUAGUCGGGGGCGUCAGUAUUCAAUUGUCAGAGGUGAAAUUCUUGGAUUUAUUGAAGACUAGCUACUGCGAAAGCAUUCGCCAAGGAUGUUUUCAUUAAUCAGUGAACGAAAGUUAGGGGAUCGAAGACGAUCAGAUACCGUCGUAGUCUUAACCGUAAACUAUGCCGACUAGGGAUCGGACGAUGUUAUUAUUUUGACUCGUUCGGCACCUUACGAGAAAUCAAAGUCUUUGGGUCUGGGG
rnacentral:rRNA from 1 species